rnacentral:pre_miRNA from 1 species
UAGGGUGAUCAGCUACCCAUGUUUGCCUGAGACUGAGGGAUUUCUAGGGACAUGAGAUUUUUCAGUCCUAAAACCAGGAUAGUCCCAGGCAAACUCAGAUGGCUAAUCACCCUAAUUUCAG